GUAUUCGGGUAAUCGAGCGGAUACCCAGCGCAUCCGUUAGGAAAGUCCUUGCUAGCACAGGCUGCGAUGCCUGUAGUGAUUAUGCCCAACGAAAAAAUAAGUUGGGACGCUCCGUUGGGAGAGCGAUGGCGAAGACGACACCUGUAAAAUGGUUAGUCUUCCUAAGGUGCCACAGAGACGAUACCCUUUGGAAACAAAGGGAGUGGAACGGGUAAACCCCAUAAGCUAGCAACCCAAAUUAUGGUGGGGGCAUUUUAAAUCCGGAAAUGAACGGGUUUAAGGCUGCCGGUUACCGGCAGAGAUAAAUGAUUACCGCUUCCCCGUUGCGGGAAGUACAGAACAAGGCUUACAGAA
rnacentral:RNase_P_RNA from 1 species